AAUCAACGCUGGCGGCGUGCCUAACACAUGCAAGUCGAACGCGAAAGCCCCUUCGGGGGCAAGUAGAGUGGCGUCCGGGUGAGUAACACGUGGGUAAUCUACCUCCGGGUGGGGAAUAACUCGCCGAAAGGCGGGCUAAUACCGCAUAAUGCAGCGGCACCGAAUGGUGAUUAGUUGUUAAAGCGGGGGACCUUAGGGCCUCGCGUCUGGAGAGGAGCCUGCGGCAGAUUAGCUUGUUGGUAGGGAAUGGCCUACCAAGGCUGCGAUCUGUAGCUGGUCUGAGAGGACGGCCAGCCACACUGGCACUGACACACGGCCCAGACUCCUACGGGAGGCAGCAGUGGGGAAUAUUGGACAAUGGGGGCAACCCUGAUCCAGCGACGCCGCGUGUGUGAAGAAGGCCUGCGGGUUGUAAAGCACUUUUAGUGGGGAUGAAAAGCUCGGGGC
rnacentral:rRNA from 1 species